rnacentral:lncRNA from 1 species
CUACAUUCCGUGGCAGCCUGGCUCCAACAUCCCAGGGAAUUGUGUCACUCCCAUUGAGCAGCUGUGGGGCCCUCUCCCACAUGGCCCAGGUCCACCACUCUGUCAAAGGUCGCACAGCCCAGACAAAAACAGGACACAGCAGUGUGUGAAUGAGCCGGGCUUUCUCCUUCCCUCCACGUAAUAGAAGGUGCCUGAGGUUGUUGAAACACAGUCCAUUUCUCCUGGGAAUGACAAGAAUUUGAGGGAUGCUGACUUUCAAGGAAUACUGCAUGACAGGCAUCAAGAUAAACCUGAUGAAGAAAACAUAGGCCAGAAUCUGGGAAUCGGGAGCAAAGUAAUACAGCUUCGGGGACAGGCACGUAAUGAGGUCAUGAUGUAGGAGACUCCCUGCAGGACUGGCGGCCCCUGUUCCCUGGGUUGUUCUGGCUCUUUCAGAACCUGACCCUGGAACAGGACUGAGCAGGUGCCUGUGUGCACAGAAGACCUUGUGUGAGUCCUUUGGUACCACGUUUGCUGCACGAAUGUCUGAGACACCUCACAGUCGCUUGGUUCAGCCUCUCCCUCCUCUCUCCGCUGGGGAACAUCAUCCCUCAUCACUGGAAGAAAUUACAAGGAUUGUGUAAACAAUUACAAGUAUUCUACAAACAAUUUAUAUGUUAACAAGCUGAAUUCCUGCUUCAUCUGGAGGACUGCACAGUGUAUCUGAGAGAGGAUUUUCAGGAGGCCAGAAAAUCAAGCUGGAGGGAUUUUCAGCGUGUUGGGAGAUUGCUACCUGUUUUAAGUCAGGCCAUUGCCACGUCUUUUUCCCCACCUUGGAGACUUCAGCAAAUUGCUCAAAUGUCGGUGUGCUCUCAUGAACAGAAACGAUGGCACGGUGGGUCCUGGUCUCAAGACUUCCUCUCAAUGAUUCAGAGGUCUUGGGGGUUUUUUGUCUGAAUAUCAGGCAAAGAGGAAGGACGGCUACAAUGGAGGAGUCUCCUACCACGCUUGUGGUCGUCACUGUAGUGCUCAGUUGAAUGGUGUGUCCAUUGGGGUUGGAGUCCCCAUCCUGUUCUGGGUCCUGGCCCCCCACAGGCUCCAGGGACAUAACCCUUCCAGUUCAGGAUCAUGUGCUGGGGCACUGUUCCCUGAGGUGGGACUCUGGGCUGUAACAGCUGCUUUUGAAGCAUGUUCCAGCUUCAACCACGUGCUUGGACGACACCAGCUCUUCCCACAUACUCUUCCCCAGCUCUUGUGUUGAGUUUGGCUUCCACCUUCCUCCAGCUGGGUCUCGCUAUGUUGCCCAAGCCAUUCUGGAGCUCCUGCGCUUAAGUGAUCCUCCUGCCUCAGCCUCCCAAGUAACUGGAAUUAUAAAUGUGAGCCACUGUGCCCAGCAAUUACAAAAUUUUUGGAAUGCAAUUGGGAAGUACAGCUGAAAAACUUCAGCAACGUGGGCUGUUUGAUUGUACAAUCGCACUUCUUGGAAUUUAUCCUACAGAAAUCAGUAGUCAAGUUCACAAAAACUGACAAUAGCCAUUACAGAGAAGCAGAAGAAAGGGAAAUAAAAACAUUCAAACCUACCAACAGGAGAUUGGACAAAUAAAUCAUGUUAUAACUAUACAAUGGGCUAUUAUGUAACCAUUAAAAUGAUCAUCUAUUCUA